UAGGGAAUCUUCGGCAAUGGGGGGAACCCUGACCGAGCAACGCCGCGUGAGUGAAGAAGGUUUUCGGAUCGUAAAGCCCUGUUGUUAAGGAAGAACGAGUGUGAGAAUGGAAAGUUCAUACUGUGACGGUACUUAACCAGAAAGGGACGGCUAACUACGUGCCAGCAGCCGCGGUAAUACGUAGGUCCCGAGCGUUGUCCGGAUUUAUUGGGCGUAAAGCGAGCGCAGUCGGUUAGAUAAGUCUGAAGUUAAAGGCAGUGGCUCAACCAUUGUAGGCUUUGGAAACUGUUUAACUUGAUUGCAGAAGGGGAGAGUGGAAUUCCAUGUGUAGCGUUGAAAUGCGUAGAUAUAUGGAGGAACACAGGUGGCGAAAGCGGCUCUCUGGUCUGUAACUGACGCUGAGGCUCGAAAGCGUGGGGAGCGAACAGG
rnacentral:rRNA from 1 species